GACGAACGCUGGCGGCGUGCUUAACACAUGCAAGUCGAACGGAAAGGCCCUGCUUUUGUGGGGUGCUCGAGUGGCGAACGCGUGAGUAACACGUGAGUAACCUGCCCUUGACUUUGGGAUAACUUCAGGAAACUGGGGCUAAUACCGGAUAGGAGCUCCUGCUGCAUGGUGGGGGUUGGAAAGUUUCGGCGGUUGGGGAUGGACUCGCGGCUUAUCAGCUUGUUGGUGGGGUAGUGGCUUACCAAGGCUUUGACGGGUAGCCGGCCUGAGAGGGUGACCGGCCACAUUGGGACUGAGGUACGGCGCAGACUCCUACGGGAGGCAGCAGUGGGGAAUCUUGCAGAAUGGGCGGAAGCCUGAUGCAGAAGCGCCGGGUGCGGGAUGACGUCCUUCGGGUUGUGAACCGCUUUCGCCGGUGACGAGGCGUGCGUGACGGUAAUGGGUCAAGAAGCACCGGCUAACUACGUG
rnacentral:rRNA from 1 species